rnacentral:misc_RNA from 1 species
GAUGAAGAACGUAGCGAAAUGCGAUAAGUAAUGCGAAUUGCAGAAUUUCCGUGAGUCAUCGAAUCUUUGAACGGACAUUGCGCCCACUGGUAUUCCGGUGGGCAUGCCUGUUCGAGCGUCAUUAUCCUCCCUCAAACCCCGGGUUUGGUGUUGGACCGAAGUUGUGUGAACAACUGGUCUAAAAAACAAUGACGGCGUCCGUGGGACCCUCGGUGCAACGAGCUUUUAGGAGCACGCGCCGAGUUGCAAGGACCUUCCGGGCCGGUCUCCUUUUACUAUUUUACAAGGUUGACCUCGGAUCAGGUAGGAAUACCCGCUGAACUUAAGCAUAUCAAUAAGCGGAGGA